AUUGAACGCUAGCGGUAUGCUUUACACAUGCAAGUCGAACGAGUGGCGGACGGGUGAGUAAUAUAUCGGAACGUGCCCAGUAGCGGGGGAUAACUACUGGAAAGAGUGGCUAAUACCGCAUACUAUUGGAGCGGCCCAUAUCGGAUUAGCUAGUUGGUGGGGUAAAGGCUCACCAAGGCAACGAUCCCUAGCUGGUCUGAGAGGAAGACCAGCCACACUGGGACUGAGACACGGCCCAGACUCCUACGGGAGGCAGCAGUGGGGAAUUUUGGACAAUGGGGGAAAGCCUGAUCCAGCCAUCCCGCGUGUAUGAGAAGGCCUUCGGGUUGUAAAGUACUUUUGGCAGGGAAGCGGUAUCUGCAGAAUAAGCACCGGCUAACUACGUGCCAGCCGCCGCGGUAAUUC
rnacentral:rRNA from 1 species